rnacentral:rRNA from 1 species
GCUUACGGCCAUACCAACCUGGCUAUGCCCUAUCUCGUCUGAUCUCGGAAGCUAAGCAGGUUUGGGCCUGGUUAGUACUUGGAUGGGAGACCGCCUGGGAAUACCAGGUGCUGUAAGCU